AAACAACGGAGAGUUUGAUCCUGGCUCAGGAUGAACGCUAGCGGCAGGCUUAACACAUGCAAGUCGAGGGGCAGCGGGGAGGAAGCUUGCUUUCUCCGCCGGCGACCGGCGCACGGGUGAGUAACACGUAUGCAACCUGCCCCUGUCAGGGGGACAACCCGCCGAAAGGCGGGCUAAACCCGCGUACAUGCCACCGGGGCAUCCCGGAGGCAGGAAAGGCUUCGGCCGGACAGGGAUGGGCAUGCGGCGCAUUAGGCAGUAGGCGGGGUAACGGCCCACCUAACCGACGAUGCGUAGGGGUUCUGAGAGGAAGGUCCCCCACACUGGUACUGAGACACGGACCAGACUCCUACGGGAGGCAGCAGUGAGGAAUAUUGGUCAAUGGUCGGGAGACUGAACCAGCCAAGCCGCGUGAGGGAGGAAGGUACAGAGUAUCGUAAACCUCUUUUGUCAGGGAACAAAGGCGGGGACGUGUCCCCGGAUGAGUGUACCUGAAGAAAAAGCAUCGGCUAACUCCGUGCCAGCAGCCGCGGUAAUACGGAGGAUGCGAGCGUUAUCCGGAUUUAUUGGGUUUAAAGGGUGCGCAGGCGGUCUGUUAAGUCAGCGGUCAAAGCCCGGGGCUCAACCCCGGCCCGCCGUUGAAACUGGCAGUCUCGAGUUGGAGAGAAGUAUGCGGAAUGCGCGGUGUAGCGGUGAAAUGCAUAGAUAUCGCGCAGAACUCCGAUUGCGAAGGCAGCAUGCCGGCUCCACACUGACGCUGAGGCACGAAAGCGUGGGUAUCGAACAGGAUUAGAUACCCUGGUAGUCCACGCAGUAAACGAUGAAUGCUGGCUGUCCGGGGGGAUUGACCCCUGGGUGGCGAAGCGAAAGCGAUAAGCAUUCCACCUGGGGAGUACGCCGGCAACGGUGAAACUCAAAGGAAUUGACGGGGGCCCGCACAAGCGGAGGAACAUGUGGUUUAAUUCGAUGAUACGCGAGGAACCUUACCCGGGCUCAAACGGGGAGUG
rnacentral:rRNA from 1 species